rnacentral:rRNA from 1 species
GAUGAACGCUAGCGGCAGGCCUAACACAUGCAAGUCGAGGGGUAACAGGGAUUGCUUGCAAUCCGCUGACGACCGGCGCACGGGUGCGUAACGCGUAUACAAUCUACCUUUAGCUGAGGGAUAGCCCAGAGAAAUUUGGAUUAACACCUCAUGGUAUCUAUUACUGGCAUCGGUAUUAGAUUAAAGGUAACGGCUAAAGAUGAGUAUGCGUUCUAUUAGCUAGUAGGUAUGGUAACGGCAUACCUAGGCAACGAUAGAUAGGGGCCCUGAGAGGGGGAUCCCCCACACUGGUACUGAGACACGGACCAGACUCCUACGGGAGGCAGCAGUGAGGAAUAUUGGUCAAUGGAGGCAACUCUGAACCAGCCAUGCCGCGUGCAGGAAGACUGCCCUAUGGGUUGUAAACUGCUUUUAUACAGGAAGAAACAGUCUCUCGUGAGGGACCUUGACGGUACUGUAAGAAUAAGCAUCGGCUAACUCCGUGCCAGCCGCCGCCGUAACAC